GCUGGGCUUGGUGGUGCAUGCCUGUGGUCCCAGCUACUUUGGAGGCUGAGGCAGGAGGAUCACUUGAGCUUAGGAGGUCAGGGCUCCAGUGAGCUGUGAGUACGCCAUUGCACUCCAGCCUGGGUGACAGAGUGGGAUCCUGUCUCAA
ensembl:misc_RNA Metazoa_SRP Metazoan signal recognition particle RNA